rnacentral:piRNA from 1 species
UGCAGUAUUGACUGGACAGCCUUCUCGAAUU